CCGUUUCGAUUUGCUGGGGACAGAUAAAAUGAAUGUGAGAAUCAAUGCCUCCAGCCGUGAGAAUCAUGCCUUCUCCAGCCACUGCUUCCGUACCGGGGCCGAUAAUAAUAUCCACAUUAUUCUGAAUAUUGGGAUUCCCGGCUUUGCCAAUCUUGGCGAUCUUGCCGUCUUUGAUACCAAUAUCGGCUUUUACAAUUCCCCACCAGUCUAAAAUGAGUGCAUUGGUAAUCACCAUAUCUACCGCGCCAUCAGCAUUAGAAAUGGGAGACUGGCCCAUACCAUCUCGG
rnacentral:sRNA from 1 species